rnacentral:rRNA from 1 species
CACCGCGGUUAAACGAGAGGCCCCAGUUGAUAAUAUCACGGCGUAAAGGGUGGUUAAGGAUUGAAAUUUAAUAAAGCCAAAUAGCCCUUCGGCCGUCAUACGCUUCUAGGUGUUAGAAACCCGAUCUGCACGAAAGUAGCUUUAGCUAUAUCCACCUGACCCCACGAAAGCUGAGAAA